rnacentral:rRNA from 1 species
UACGGGGGGGGCAAGCGUUGUUCGGAAUUACUGGGCGUAAAGGGCUCGUAGGUGGCCAACUAAGUCAGACGUGAAAUCCCUCAGCUUAACUGGGGAACUGCGUCUGAUACUGGAUGGCUUGAGUUUGGGAGAGGGAUGCGGAAUUCCAGGUGUAGCGGUGAAAUGCGUAGAUAUCUGGAGGAACACCGGUGGCGAAGGCGGCGUCCUGGACCAAUACUGACACUGAAACGCGAAAGCCAGGGGAGCAAACGGG